UACAGAGGGUGCGAGCGUUAAUCGGAAUUACUGGGCGUAAAGCGUGCGUAGACGGUUAUUUAAGUCGGAUGUGAAAGCCCCGGGCUCAACCUGGGAAUUGCAUUCGAGACUGAAUAGCUAGGGUGCGGUAGAGGGACGCGGAAUUUCCGGUGUAGCGGUGAAAUGCGUAGAUAUCGGAAGGAACAUCAGUGGCGAAAGCGGCUUCCUGGACCAGCACCGACGUUCAGGCACGAAAGCGUGGGGAGCAAACAGG
rnacentral:rRNA from 1 species